rnacentral:rRNA from 1 species
UACGGGGGGGGCAAGCGUUGUUCGGAAUUACUGGGCGUAAAGGGCGCGUAGGCGGUUCGCUAAGUUGGAUGUGAAAACUCUGGGCUUAACCCAGAGCCUGCAUCCAAAACUGGCAAACUUGAGUACUGGAGGGGAAAGCGGAAUUCCUGGUGUAGCGGUGAAAUGCGUAGAUAUCAGGAGGAACACCGGUGGCGAAGGCGGGUCUCUGGGCCGAUACUGACGCUGAGGAGCGAAAGCGUGGGGAGCGAACAGG